UGGGGAAUUUUGGACAAUGGGGGAAACCCUGAUCCAGCCAUCCCGCGUGUGCGAUGAAGGCCUUCGGGUUGUAAAACACUUUUGGCAGGAAAGAAACGUCGUGGGUUAAUACCCCGCGAAACUGACGGUACCUGCAGAAUAAGCACCGGCUAACUACGUGCCAGCAGCCGCGGUAAUACGUAGGGUGCAAGCGUUAAUCGGAAUUACUGGGCGUAAAGCGUGCGCAGGCGGUUCGGAAAGAAAGAUGUGAAAUCCCAGAGCUUAACUUUGGAACUGCAUUUUUAACUACCGGGCUAGAGUGUGUCAGAGGGAGGUGGAAUUCCGCGUGUAGCAGUGAAAUGCGUAGAUAUGCGGAGGAACACCGAUGGCGAAGGCAGCCUCCUGGGAUAACACUGACGCUCAUGCACGAAAGCGUGGGGAGCAAACAGGAUUAGAUACCCUGGUAGUCCACGCCCUAAACGAUGUCAACUAGCUGUUGGGGUCUUCGGACCUUGGUAGCGCAGCUAACGCGUGAAGUUGACCGCCUGGGGAGUACGGUCGCAAGAUUAAAACUCAAAUGAAUUGAC
rnacentral:rRNA from 1 species